rnacentral:rRNA from 1 species
CCUACGGGAGGCAGCAGUAGGGAAUUUUCGUCAAUGGGCGCAAGCCUGAACGAGCAAUGCCGCGUGAACGAGGAAGGUCUUCGGAUCGUAAAGUUCUGUUGAAGGGGAAAAAGAGCGGAGAGAGGAAAUGGUCUCCGAUUGAUAUUACCCUUCGAGGAAGUCACGGCUAACUACGUGCCAGCAGCCGCGGUAAUACGUAGGUGGCGAGCGUUGUCCGGAAUUACUGGGUGUAAAGGGCGCGUAGGCGGGACUGCAAGUUGGGUGUCAAAUCUACCGGCUCAACCGGUAGCCGCACUCAAAACUGCAGUUCUUGAGUGAAGUAGAGGCAGGCGGAAUUCCUAGUGUAGCGGUGAAAUGCGUAGAUAUUAGGAGGAACACCAGUGGCGAAGGCGGCCUGCUGGGCUUUUACUGACGCUGAGGCUCGAAAGUGUGGGGAGCAAACAGGAUUAGAUACCCGAGUAGUC